GAACAAUAGUGCUCACUUUGGAAACAUGUAUACAAAAAUUGAAGUUUAGCAUGGCUCCUGAACUUGGAUGACAUGCAAAAUUGUGCAGUGUUCCAUAUUUUG
ensembl:snRNA U6 U6 spliceosomal RNA